AAGCAUAUCAAUAAAGCGGAGGAAAAGAAACUAACAAGGAUUCCCCUAGUAACGGCGAGUGAAGCGGGAUGAGCUCAAAUUUAAAAUCUGGCGGCCUCAGGUCGUCCGAGUUGUAGUCUAGAGAAUCGUUUUCCGCGUUGGCCUGUGUACAAGUCCCUUGGAACAGGGCGUCAUAGAGGGUGAGAAUCCCGUCCUUGACACAGAUUACCAAUGCUUUGUGAUGCGAUCUCGAAGAGUCGAGUUGUUUGGGAAUGCAGCUCAAAAUGGGUGGUAAAUUCCAUCUAAAGCUAAAUAUUGGCGAGAGACCGAUAGCGAACAAGUACCGUGAGGGAAAGAUGAAAAGCACUUUGGAAAGAGAGUUAAACAGUACGUGAAAUUGUUAAAAGGGAAACGAUUGAAGUCAGUCAUGCUUUCCGAGACUCAGCCGAUUCUGUCGGUGUACUUCUCGGUUGGCAGGCCAGCAUCAGUUUCGAUCUGUGGAAAAGGUUGGAGGGAACGUGGCAUCUUCGGAUGUGUUAUAGCCCUUCUUCGAAUACAUAGAGCGGGACUGAGGAACGCAGCGCGCCUUUUAUUAGGUUGGCCCUCGGGUACAUACGCGCUUAGGAUGCUGGCAUAAUGGCUUUAAACGACCCG
rnacentral:rRNA from 1 species